GGAGGCAUAGCUCAGCUGGUUAGAGCGCUCGCUUCACACGCGAGAGGUCGAUGGUUCGAGCCCAUUUGUCUCCACCA
rnacentral:tRNA from 1 species